GGGUUGUGAGGUUAAGCGACUAAGCGUACACGGUGGAUGCCCUGGCAGUCAGAGGCGAUGAAGGACGUGCUAAUCUGCGAUAAGCGUCGGUAAGGUGAUAUGAACCGUUAUAACCGGCGAUUUCCGAAUGGGGAAACCCAGUGUGAUUCGUCACACUAUCAUUAACUGAAUCCAUAGGUUAAUGAGGCGAACCGGGGGAACUGAAACAUCUAAGUACCCCGAGGAAAAGAAAUCAACCGAGAUUCCCCCAGUAGCGGCGAGCGAACGGGGAGCAGCCCAGAGCCUGAAUCAGUGUGUGUGUUAGUGGAAGCGUCUGGAAAGGCGCGCGAUACAGGGUGACAGCCCCGUACACAAAAAUGCACAUACUGUGAGCUCGAUGAGUAGGGCGGGACACGUGGUAUCCUGUCUGAAUAUGGGGGACCAUCCUCCAAGGCUAAAUACUCCUGACUGACCGAUAGUGAACCAGUACCGUGAGGGAAAGGCGAAAAGAACCCCGGCGAGGGGAGUGAAAAAGAACCUGAAACCGUGUACGUACAAGCAGUGGGAGCACAGAGCAAUCUGUGUGACUGCGUACCUUUUGUAUAAUGGGUCAGCGACUUAUAUUCUGUAGCAAGGUUAACCGAAUAGGGGAGCCGAAGGGAAACCGAGUCUUAACUGGGCGUUAAGUUGCAGGGUAUAGACCCGAAACCCGGUGAUCUAGCCAUGGGCAGGUUGAAGGUUGGGUAACACUAACUGGAGGACCGAACCGACUAAUGUUGAAAAAUUAGCGGAUGACUUGUGGCUGGGGGUGAAAGGCCAAUCAAACCGGGAGAUAGCUGGUUCUCCCCGAAAGCUAUUUAGGUAGCGCCUCGUGAAUUCAUCUCCGGGGGUAGAGCACUGUUUCGGCAAGGGGGUCAUCCCGACUUACCAACCCGAUGCAAACUGCGAAUACCGGAGAAUGUUAUCACGGGAGACACACGGCGGGUGCUAACGUCCGUCGUGAAGAGGGAAACAACCCAGACCGCCAGCUAAGGUCCCAAAGUCAUGGUUAAGUGGGAAACGAUGUGGGAAGGCCCAGACAGCCAGGAUGUUGGCUUAGAAGCAGCCAUCAUUUAAAGAAAGCGUAAUAGCUCACUGGUCGAGUCGGCCUGCGCGGAAGAUGUAACGGGGCUAAACCAUGCACCGAAGCUGCGGCAGCGACACUGUGUGUUGUUGGGUAGGGGAGCGUUCUGUAAGCCUGUGAAGGUGUGCUGUGAGGCAUGCUGGAGGUAUCAGAAGUGCGAAUGCUGACAUAAGUAACGAUAAAGCGGGUGAAAAGCCCGCUCGCCGGAAGACCAAGGGUUCCUGUCCAACGUUAAUCGGGGCAGGGUGAGUCGACCCCUAAGGCGAGGCCGAAAGGCGUAGUCGAUGGGAAACAGGUUAAUAUUCCUGUACUUGGUGUUACUGCGAAGGGGGACGGAGAAGGCUAUGUUGGCCGGGCGACGGUUGUCCCGGUUUAAGCGUGUAGGCUGGUUUUCCAGGCAAAUCCGGAAAAUCAAGGCUGAGGCGUGAUGACGAGGCACUACGGUGCUGAAGCAACAAAUGCCCUGCUUCCAGGAAAAGCCUCUAAGCAUCAGGUAACAUCAAAUCGUACCCCAAACCGACACAGGUGGUCAGGUAGAGAAUACCAAGGCGCUUGAGAGAACUCGGGUGAAGGAACUAGGCAAAAUGGUGCCGUAACUUCGGGAGAAGGCACGCUGAUAUGUAGGUGAAGUCCCUCGCGGAUGGAGCUGAAAUCAGUCGAAGAUACCAGCUGGCUGCAACUGUUUAUUAAAAACACAGCACUGUGCAAACACGAAAGUGGACGUAUACGGUGUGACGCCUGCCCGGUGCCGGAAGGUUAAUUGAUGGGGUCAGCGCAAGCGAAGCUCUUGAUCGAAGCCCCGGUAAACGGCGGCCGUAACUAUAACGGUCCUAAGGUAGCGAAAUUCCUUGUCGGGUAAGUUCCGACCUGCACGAAUGGCGUAAUGAUGGCCAGGCUGUCUCCACCCGAGACUCAGUGAAAUUGAACUCGCUGUGAAGAUGCAGUGUACCCGCGGCAAGACGGAAAGACCCCGUGAACCUUUACUAUAGCUUGACACUGAACAUUGAGCCUUGAUGUGUAGGAUAGGUGGGAGGCUUUGAAGUGUGGACGCCAGUCUGCAUGGAGCCGACCUUGAAAUACCACCCUUUAAUGUUUGAUGUUCUAACGUGGACCCGUGAUCCGGGUUGCGGACAGUGUCUGGUGGGUAGUUUGACUGGGGCGGUCUCCUCCUAAAGAGUAACGGAGGAGCACGAAGGUUGGCUAAUCCUGGUCGGACAUCAGGAGGUUAGUGCAAUGGCAUAAGCCAGCUUGACUGCGAGCGUGACGGCGCGAGCAGGUGCGAAAGCAGGUCAUAGUGAUCCGGUGGUUCUGAAUGGAAGGGCCAUCGCUCAACGGAUAAAAGGUACUCCGGGGAUAACAGGCUGAUACCGCCCAAGAGUUCAUAUCGACGGCGGUGUUUGGCACCUCGAUGUCGGCUCAUCACAUCCUGGGGCUGAAGUAGGUCCCAAGGGUAUGGCUGUUCGCCAUUUAAAGUGGUACGCGAGCUGGGUUUAGAACGUCGUGAGACAGUUCGGUCCCUAUCUGCCGUGGGCGCUGGAGAACUGAGGGGGGCUGCUCCUAGUACGAGAGGACCAGAGUGGACGCAUCACUGGUGUUCGGGUUGUCAUGCCAAUGGCACUGCCCGGUAGCUAAAUGCGGAAGAGAUAAGUGCUGAAAGCAUCUAAGCACGAAACUUGCCCCGAGAUGAGUUCUCCCUGACCCUUUAAGGGUCCUGAAGGAACGUUGAAGACGACGACGUUGAUAGGCCGGGUGUGUAAGCGCAGCGAUGCGUUGAGCUAACCGGUACUAAUGAACCGUGAGGCUUAACCUUACAACGCCGAAGGUGUUU
rnacentral:rRNA from 1 species